UCGGAAGUCUGUAAUUUCAGCGUCCACUCUUAUCGGUUGUAGCCGGGACGGGCGGAGUUCGCCCCAUCAGACACGGGCCUGUAGCUCAGUUGGUUAGAGCACCGUCUUGAUAAGGCGGGGGUCGAUGGUUCGAAUCCAUCCAGACCCACCAGGAUUUGCGCGUUGGAUGCCAAGCGCGGCGCCUGGCGAGAAGCAAGCAGGGCGAGGCGCGAGCGGCCGACGUGUAGACCGACGCUACACGAGGCCGCGAGCAACAAAGCCAUGCGCAGCUUAUCGGCAGGCGAGGGGGCUGUAGCUCAGUUGGGAGAGCACCUGCUUUGCAAGCAGGGGGUCGUCGGUUCGAUCCCGAUCAGCUCCACCAUCCCGCCGGCAUAUGCAAAAUGCCAAGCAAGAGACCAUAACUAAGCCCCGAGGUUUAGUUCUGGUUUCCUGAACCAGAGUUAUCGGUUGUUCUUUAACAAUACGGAAGAAGUAAACGCACACGACGAGGUUUGUCGUAUGUUGGGUUGGAUUGUAUCGAGCCCGUUUUCUCCUAUGAGUUCGGAGGGAACGGGUAGCGCAAACUCCCGUGAUGAAGAGCGUGUCAGCGCUCAGCGUUAUGG
rnacentral:tRNA from 1 species